UACGGGGGGAGCAAGCGUUGUUCGGAUUUACUGGGCGUAAAGGGCGCGUAGGCGGCGCAACAAGUCACUUGUGAAAUCUCCGGGCUUAACCCGGAGCGGCCAAGUGAUACUGUCGUGCUAGAGUGCGGAAGGGGCUACUGGAAUUCUCGGUGUAGCGGUGAAAUGCGUAGAUAUCGGGAAGAACACUAGUGGCGAAAGCGCUCUACUGGGCCAUAACUGACACUGAGGGACGAAAGCUAGGGGAGCGAAAGGG
rnacentral:rRNA from 1 species